rnacentral:tRNA from 1 species
GCGGGGGUAGAGCAGUUUGGUAGCUCGCAAGGCUCAUAACCUUGAGGUCACGGGUUCAAAUCCUGUCUCCGCA